AUGGUGACAGCCAUCGUGUUGCACAGUGUCUUCUUCCUCUCAGGUGCUUCUGAUGAUUGUUAUAAGACCAGACAUCUAUUCAUCACUGCACCAAAAGAGAUGGAAGCACUGACUGGAUCUUGUUUGCAAAUUCCAUGUAACUUCAGCGUGAAAUCAGGAGAGAAAAUCAACAG